GUAUACUUCCUUCGUGCCAUAAAAACCAAACUAGUACUGAAUGUGACACAUUCUAGUACUACAAAUCUGAUCAUACCUCUGUCCAGAUCUAUUAUAUUAUAAUAUGUCAUAUUCAGUUCUAGAUUCGUUUUUUAUGGGACGGAGGGAGUA
rnacentral:misc_RNA from 1 species